GAUGAACGCUGGCGGCGUGCCUAAUACAUGCAAGUCGAGCGAACGGACGAGAAGCUUGCUUCUCUGAUGUUAGCGGCGGACGGGUGAGUAACACGUGGAUAACCUACCUAUAAGACUGGGAUAACUUCGGGAAACCGGAGCUAAUACCGGAUAAUAUUUUGAACCGCAUGGUUCAAAAGUGAAAGACGGUCUUGCUGUCACUUAUAGAUGGAUCCGCGCUGCAUUAGCUAGUUGGUAAGGUAACGGCUUACCAAGGCAACGAUGCAUAGCCGACCUGAGAGGGUGGUUGGGCACCCCGGAAACUGGGACACGUUCCGGAUCCCAAGGGGAGGCGGCGUAGGGAAACCUUCCGCAAGGGGCAAAGGCCUGAGGAGGCAAGGCGGGGGAGUGAAGAAGGUCCUCCGAUCGGAAAACCCCUUUAAUAGGGAAGAAACAAAGUGGAAGUAAACUGGGCCCAUCUGAAGGUAACUAAACAGAAAGGCACGGCUAACUUCCUG
rnacentral:rRNA from 1 species